UACGUAGGGGCAAGCGUUGUCCGGAAUCAUUGGGCGUAAAGAGCGCGUAGGCGGCCCUGUAAGUCCGCUGUGAAAGUCAAGGGCUCAACCCUUGAAUGCCGGUGGAUACUGCAGGGCUAGAGUCCGGAAGAGGCGAGUGGAAUUCCUGGUGUAGCGGUGAAAUGCGCAGAUAUCAGGAGGAACACCGAUGGCGAAGGCAGCUCGCUGGGACGUUCACUGACGCUGAGACGCGAAAGCGUGGGGAGCAAACAGG
rnacentral:rRNA from 1 species